AUAUCUUGAGAACUGUUAUGAUUUCAAAGUUUAUACUUGACAUGUAUAUAAACCAACACCAGAGGGUGUGUCAUAAUGUAUGUACAACUUCCUAGGUCAAAGGUCAAGGUCAAAAACUUUGGUUUUAGUUGACAACCCCAUGUCCUAUGGUAAAGAUCGUGUCCGCUCUAUAUCUUGAGAACCGUUAUGAUUUCAAAGUUUAUACUUGAUAUGUAUAUUAACCAACACCAGAGGGUGUGUCAUAAUGUAUGUACAACUUCCUAGGUCAAAGGUCAAGGUCAAAAACUUUGGUUUUAGUUGACAACCCCAUGUCCUAUGGUAAAGAUCGUGUCCGCUCUAUAUCUUGAGAACCGUUAUGAUUUCAAAGUUUAUACUUGAUAUGUAUAUUAACCAACACCAGAGGGUGUGUCAUAAUGUAUGUACAACUUCCUAGGUCAAAGGUCAAGGUCAAAAACUUUGGUUUUAGUUGACAACCCCAUGUCCUAUGGUAAAGAUCAUGUCCGCUCUAUAUCUUGAGAACCGUUAUGAUUUCAAAGUUUAUACUUGAUAUGUAUAUUAACCAACACCAGAGGGUGUGUCAUAAUGUA